CCUACGAGUGGCAGCAGUGGGGAAUCUUGGACAAUGGGGGCAACCCUGAUCCAGCCAUGCCGCGUGAGUGAAGAAGGUCUUCGGAUUGUAAAGCUCUUUUGCCAGGGACGAUAAUGACGGUACCUGGAGAAUAAGCCCCGGCAAACUUCGUGCCAGCAGCCGCGGUAAUACGAAGGGGGCUAGCGUUGUUCGGAAUUACUGGGCGUAAAGCGCACGUAGGCGGGUGGUUAAGUUAGGGGUGAAAUCCCGGAGCUCAACUCCGGAACUGCCUUUGAUACUGGCCAUCUAGAGAUCGGAAGAGGUGAGUGGAAUUCCCAGUGUAGAGGUGAAAUUCGUAGAUAUUGGGAAGAACACCGGUGGCGAAGGCGGCUCACUGGUCCGAUACUGACGCUGAGGUGCGAAAGCGUGGGGAGCAAACA
rnacentral:rRNA from 1 species